rnacentral:lncRNA from 1 species
UGCAGAAUGCAGCUCCGCCUGGAGGGACUGGGUAUGAGCUUGAGCUGCUGUGAGGUUGCCCCUAGCAUCACUAGUCGUAGAUAAAUUCUCCUCCAGUCGCGCCUCCUCAAUCCGGCGAUCCACAGAUUCCCGGAGAGAGUGGUUGCGGGCAUCCACCUCCAUAAAGAGGCCCAUCACCUAAUACAAAGGAAAAACUGUUAAAACAAAGAAAACCAGAAUGAAAACAAAGGAGGUAGCCUAGCUU